GACGAACGCUGGCGGCGUGCUUAACACAUGCAAGUCGAACGGAAAGGCCCUGCUUUUGUGGGGUGCUCGAGUGGCGAACGGGUGAGUAACACGUGAGUAACCUGCCCUUGACUUUGGGAUAACUUCAGGAAACUGGGGCUAAUACCGGAUAGGAGCUCCUGCUGCAUGGUGGGGGUUGGAAAGUUUCGGCGGUUGGGGAUGGACUCGCGGCUUAUCAGCUUGUUGGUUGGGUAGUGGCUUACCAAGGCUUUGACGGGUAGCCGGCCUGAGAGGGUGACCGGCCACAUGAGGACUGAGGUACGGCCCAGACGCCUACGGGGGGCAGCGGUGGGGAGUAUUACACAGUGGGCGGGAGCCUGAUGCAGCAACGCCGCGUGCGGGAUGACGGCCUUCGGGUUGUAAACCGCUUUCGCCUGUGACGAAGCGUGAGUGACGGUAAUGGGUGAAGAAGCACCGGCUAACUACGUG
rnacentral:rRNA from 1 species